rnacentral:rRNA from 1 species
UACGAAGGGGGCUAGCGUUGUUCGGAAUUACUGGGCGUAAAGCGCACGUAGGCGGAUAUUUAAGUCAGGGGUGAAAUCCCAGAGCUCAACUCUGGAACUGCCUUUGAUACUGGGUAUCUUGAGAAUGGAAGAGGUGAGUGGAAUUCCGAGUGUAGAGGUGAAAUUCGUAGAUAUUCGGAGGAACACCAGUGGCGAAGGCGGCUCACUGGUCCAUUACUGACGCUGAGGUGCGAAAGCGUGGGGAGCAAACAGG